UUGAACGCUGGCGGCAUGCUUUACACAUGCAAGUCGAACGGCAGCACGGGGGCAACCCUGGUGGCGAGUGGCGAACGGGUGAGUAAUGCAUCGGAACGUACCCAGUCGUGGGGGAUAACGCAGCGAAAGUUGUGCUAAUACCGCAUACGACCUGAGGGUGAAAGCGGGGGACCGUAAGGCCUCGCGCGAUUGGAGCGGCCGAUGUCUGAUUAGCUAGUUGGUGGGGUAAAGGCCUACCAAGGCGACGAUCCGUAGCUGGUCUGAGAGGAUGAUCAGCCACACUGGGACUGAGACACGGCCCAGACUCCUACGGGAGGCAGCAGUGGGGAAUUUUGGACAAUGGGCGCAAGCCUGAUCCAGCCAUGCCGCGUGAGUGAAGAAGGCCUGCGGGUUGUAAAGCUCUUUCAGACGGAAAGAAAUCGGGAGCGUGAAUAGCGUGCCUGGAUGACGGUACUGUCAGAAGAAGCACCGGCUAACUACGU
rnacentral:rRNA from 1 species